UUUUAAUUUGUUAGACAUUUUGCACCGCUCUCUCUCUUCACAAAAUUUGAGGUUGUAUUUUCUUCGUUGCACUCACUACAUAUAGUCAAGUUAACUUGUUACGUUGAUCUUGUUUUUCGAUUAAUCCACCUCGCUUGGUGUUAAAGUUGAAAUCUUUUCACAACUUCAUAACUAAUCAACUGUUGAAGUUAAAAAUAAAUUCUAUUGGAGUUCAGAAAAAAGGCUUUUGCAACAAUGGAAUUAUCCAUUUGAUGACGCUUAUUAGUAAAGUGUGCAAAAGAGAGGAAAGAAACCAAUGAAGAAAAGGUAGGUGAUGCUGAUCAAAACGAUCAUGGUGGUGAAAUUCCUUCAAAAUAUCAUGCAAAGAAGAAUGGUGUUGCCAAUGAUGUGUUAAAUUUGGAGCCCUCCAAUAUGGCUACAAGUGUAUAAAAGUUGAUGAUAAUGUUACUUUGGGACAUUAUUGCAUUAUAGUUUAUGUAGACAGAAGCCUAUGAGGAGGCGACUUCAUGGCUUGGAUGAUAUGGGUUUUGCAAUCAAAUGGGGUCUGAUUUUUUCGACAAACAGAAGUCAUGUUGGAAAUGACAAAUAUGUACAUGACGAAAUUUGAUAGGCUACCAUCUAAAAAUGAGCAACUAUUAAUGAGGAAAAAAGGAAGUUGGAGAAUAAGGAGGAAGAAAAUGUAUCGACAAGAAAAUCCAGAUGACUUGUUGUAUGGCUUUGGGAAUAAAUGGAUACAACUUCGACAUCAAGUUAUCUUCUUGAUGGAACUGAGGCUGCUUUAGUUCAACUAUUAUAUACCAUAGCAGGGUUCAAGUGCAGAGGUUUUAGCAGAUACCAAUAAAAUAUCUAAGGAAAUUAGUAAACAUGACUAUAAAUUGGGUGAAGAUGUUGGAAUAUACUAGCUUAGAUAUGGCUUCAUGAAGGUAGAGAUACGAGACAUUUCUGAACCCAUUGUAAGUCAAUUAACAAACCCUAACCAGAAUCUACAUUUAAAUUUAGUUCCAUAUUUGAUUAUAUAUGUUGUAGACUGCAGUUUUUAAAUUAUGGCUACAAUGUAGCGAAAUUUGAACAAAUAGCUGUUGUUUUAGGAUACACUAAAUGUUUCUCCGAAUAAAUCUACAUGAUAAUUUAUAUAUAAUGAUAGGUGGAAAGAACAAAAUAGCACAAAGAGGAUAAACAGUAGAUGCAGAUAAUAAUGAACAAAAAUCAAAUACGAAGGUUGAUGCAGAUGAUACUAAUCAUAUGUUCUGAACUCAAGCUACUGAUUUUGAUGAACCAAUAUCUAAAAAAAUAAUGGGAAUUGAUUCUAGAACUCGAAGGAAAAUGAAUGAACAAUAUUUUGAAUAUAAUUGACAACGACCAAAUCUAGAUGUAUAAAAUCACUAAUGAAACUGCAAAAUAAAAGACAUAAACAUAAAUCGCUUUUACAAAUCUCAAACAAAAUCGAUCAUUCAAUGUAUCGAUAGAGGAAAUUGAAGAGAGAAAGAUUCAAGCCUUAAAACUGAGAACGAGAUAUCAAGUUAAAUUGCCUACUUCAUAAUGAAGAAAUGAGGGCCUGGAAUAAUGGUUAAAUAUUGAAUCAUUAGAGGUAGAGCAAGGUUUCCUAGAAAUAAUUCAAGCAAUGAAACUAGAAGUAGUGGCUCUUCACAAAAUAAAUCCAAUAUUCUAAGUCAUAAAUGCAAGAACUAUGGACAUCAUACAUAGCAUCCACAAAUUGUUCUACUCGAGCAAUUUGGUUACAUAAAAUAUUAAGUGAAACAUUCAUUGCAUAGUUAUC